CUUAUAAGAGACCAGGGGCCCAGCUCUUUCUGCUGAGUGAGGACACAGUAAGGAGGUGCUGUCUGCCAACCAGAAUGAGGGCCCUUGCUCUUGGACUUCCAGCCUUGAAAACCAUGAGAAAGAAAUGUUUGUUGUUUAAGUCUCUGGUACUUGGUGCUAGCAGUUGAUGAAGGUAAUUAGAUUGCCAUUAAGUCUCAUUUUUAAGAAUUAUUUAUUGUAAUAACAUUCAUGACAUUAAACAAAGCAACCUUUCAGAACUGUUUUAACUUUGAAAUGUUUAUGUCUCUUUAGGCCGUGAGUUUUUCAAUGAAAAGCCUUAUCUGAGAAGGCUUCACAUCUUGUGAGGAUGAAUAAGAGGCAGGCCGGCAGCUUUACUACCUUAACGUUUCAAAAGGAAGAAACAUGCCAAAAUCACAUACAGCGUCUAUGAUCAAUGAUCCUUGAUUCAGAUGUAAUAGAGAAUAUGAGAAGAAGGAAGAAAAAGGGAAAAAUGAGACGCUCCCUUCAAAGUAUGUUGCUUCUUCUCUACCUUGGCUGAAAGUGACCAUCUCCUCAGGGACACGGAUGCGCAGGGAAGGGAUGGUGGACAUCUCUCUAAACUCAUGAUCUGUCUUUGGGGUAUGAGACGAGCAUCCUGGGGAAGAUGUGAGGCAGCAGCAUGCCCGUCAGGACACCUUCCAUCUGAUCCCAAGAUGCUUGUGGAGCUCCACUGAGCUUGCAGGGCCUCUGUGUACCCUUGCAAUAACCUCAACCUUUCAUUUGAGCUCGUUUGAGUGGUUUCUGAUCCUUGCAAUCAAAAGAGUUUGGGACAAAGAUACUCCAGAUCAAAGGUAAGACAAAAAGAAAAGAAAAGAUUUAUGGCUUGUAUUUCGUUCAAUGAACUUUACAGAAUUCUACUAAAAAUUGAUUCCCCUACAGUUUAGAUCGCCUAUCUUAUUGACUAGAAUUAUGUCUGUGAGAAUCACAGUGCUGCUCUUUAGCCAUUAAAAUGUUAAUUCUGGAAAAGUGGGCAAGGAGAUGGC
rnacentral:lncRNA from 1 species